GACGAAGGGUGCAAGCGUUAUCCGGAUUCACUGGGUUUAAAGGGUGCGUAGGCGGGCAGGUAAGUCCGUGGUGAAAUCUCCGAGCUUAACUCAGAAAUUGCCGUGGAUACUAUCUGUCUUGAAUGCUGUGGAGGUGAGCGGAAUAUGUCAUGUAGCGGUGAAAUGCUUAGAUAUGACAUAGAACACCAAUUGCGAAGGCAGCUCACUACACAGCGAUUGACGCUGAGGCACGAAAGCGUGGGGAUCAAACAGG
rnacentral:rRNA from 1 species